AGGACGAACGCUGGCGGCGUGCUUAACACAUGCAAGUCGAACGGAAAGGUCUCUUCGGAGAUACUCGAGUGGCGAACGGGUGAGUAACACGUGAGCAAUCUGCCCCUAGCUCUGGGAUAGCUCCGGGAAACCGGGAUUAAUACCAGAUACAACCACUUUAGACAUCUUUUGUGGUGGAAAGGAUUCCGGCUAGGGAUGAGCUCGCGGCCUAUCAGCUUGUUGGUUGGGGUAACGGCCCACCAAGGCGACGACGGGUAGCCGGCCUGAGAGGGCGACCGGCCACACUGGGACUGAGACACGGCCCAGACUCCUACGGGAGGCAGCAGUGGGGAAUAUUGCGCAAUGGGCGAAAGCCUGACGCAGCGACGCCGCGUGGGGGAUGAAGGCCUUCGGGUUGUAACCCCUUUCAGCAGGGACGAAGCGAAAGUGACGGUACCUGCAGAAGAAGCGCCGGCUAACUACGUGUCAGCAGCCGC
rnacentral:rRNA from 1 species